CCGGCCGUAGCUCAGCGGUAGAGCGCCCGGCUGUAGACCGGGUGGUCCGGGGUUCGAUUCCCCGCGGCCGGACCA
rnacentral:tRNA from 1 species